rnacentral:rRNA from 1 species
CGUGAAUUCAUCUCCGGGGGUAGAGCACUGUUUCGGCUAGGGGGCCAUCCCGGCUUACCAACCCGAUGCAAACUGCGAAUACCGGAGAAUGUUAUCACGGGAGACACACGGCGGGUGCUAACGUCCGUCGUGAAGAGGGAAACAACCCAGACCGCCAGCUAAGGUCCCAAAGUCAUGGUUAAGUGGGAAACGAUGUGGGAAGGCCCAGACAGCCAGGAUGUUGGCUUAGAAGCAGCCAUCAUUUAAAGAAAGCGUAAUAGCUCACUGGUCGAGUCGGCCUGCGCGGAAGAUGUAACGGGGCUAAACCAUGCACCGAAGCUGCGGCAGCGACACUGUGUGUUGUUGGGUAGGGGAGCGUUCUGUAAGCCUGUGAAGGUGUGUCGUGAGGCA